rnacentral:rRNA from 1 species
UACGGGGGGGGCAAGCGUUGUUCGGAAUUACUGGGCGUAAAGGGUGCGUAGGCGGCCCGCUAAGUCAGAUGUGAAAUCCCCAGGCUUAACCUGGGAACUGCAUCUGAUACUGGCUGGCUUGAAUCCGGGAGAGGGAUGCGGAAUUCCAGGUGUAGCGGUGAAAUGCGUAGAUAUCUGGAGGAAUACCGGUGGCGAAGGCGGGUCUCUGGGCCGAUACUGACGCUGAGGAACGAAAGCGUGGGGAGCGAACAGG